UCUGACACCAUGGUGGUGAUGACCAUACAAUAACAGAAGCCUUACACCAAGAUAAAGAUCCAAAGACUUUAUUACAUACAUAGCAAGCACGACUUCACA